rnacentral:rRNA from 1 species
UCCUGGCUCAGAACGAACGCUGGCGGCAGGCCUAACACAUGCAAGUCGAACGCCCCGCAAGGGGAGUGGCAGACGGGUGAGUAACGCGUGGGAACCUACCUAGUGGUACGGAAUAACUCGGGGAAACCCGUGCUAAUACCGGAUAAGCCCGAAAGGGGAAAGAUUUAUCGCCAUUAGAUGGGCCCGCGUCGGAUUAGCUAGUUGGUGAGGUAAUGGCUCACCAAGGCGACGAUCCGUAGCUGGUCUGAGAGGAUGAUCAGCCACACUGGGACUGAGACACGGCCCAGACUCCUACGGGAGGCAGCAGUGGGGAAUAUUGGACAAUGGGGGAAACCCUGAUCCAGCCAUGCCGCGUGAGUGACGAAGGCCUUAGGGUUGUAAAGCUCUUUUGGCGGGGACGAUAAUGACGGUACCCGCAGAAUAAGCCCCGGCUAACUUCGUGCCAGCAGCCGCGGUAAUACGAAGGGGGCUAGCGUUGUUCGGAAUCACUGGGCGUAAAGAGCACGUAGGCGGACUUGUUAGUCAGGGGUGAAAUCCCGGGGCUCAACCCCGGAACUGCCCUUGAAACUGCAAGUCUUGAGUCCGAGAGAGGUGAGUGGAAUUCCUAGUGUAGAGGUGAAAUUCGUAGAUAUUAGGAAGAACACCAGUGGCGAAGGCGGCUCACUGGCUCGGUACUGACGCUGAGGUGCGAAAGCGUGGGGGAGCAAACAGGAUUAGAUACCCUGGUAGUCCACGCCGUAAACGAUGGAUGCUAGCCGUCGGCAAGCUUGCUUGUCGGUGGCGCAGCUAACGCAUUAAGCAUCCCGCCUGGGGAGUACGGCCGCAAGGUUAAAACUCAAGGAAUUGACGGGGGCCCGCACAAGCGGUGGAGCAUGUGAUUUAUUCGAUGCAGCGCGAGAACCUUACAGCUCUGACAUUUGCUGACUGCUGCAGAAGAAGGAUUCGUCCCACAUGAGCAGAGGACAGAUGCUGGCAUGCUGUCUGUCAGCUCCUGUCGUGAAAUGUUUGUUAGUUCAGCCACGACGCGACCUCUCGUGUUGCCUCUUAUUGCGCUCUAAUGGUAUGCCGUGUAAGCUAGCAAGUGGAGGAGCAGUCGUCCUUAUGUCGUCGAUCGCUCUCAUGACUGAAUGAGUGAGCAUCUGCCUGA